AGCGAACGCUGGCGGCAGGCCUAACACAUGCAAGUCGAGCGGGCGUAGCAAUACGUCAGCGGCAGACGGGAGAGUAACACGUGGGAACGUGCCCUUUGGUUCGGAAUAACUCAGGGAAACUUGAGCUAAUACCGGAUAAGCCCUUCGGGGGAAAGAUUUAUUGCCAUUGGAGCGGCCCGCGUCGGAUUAGCUAGUUGGUGAGGUAAUGGCUCACCAAGGCGACGAUCCGUAGCUGGUCUGAGAGGAUGACCAGCCUCACUGGGACUGAGACACGGCCCAGACUCCUACGGGAGGCAGCAGUGGGGAAUAUCGGACAAUGGGCGCAAGCCUGAUCCAGCCAUGCCGCGUGGAUGAUGAAGGCCCUAGGGUUGUAAAGUCCUUUUAACGGGGAAGAUAAUGACGGUACCCGUAGAAUAAGCCCCGGCUAACUUCGUGCCAGCAGCCGCGGUAA
rnacentral:rRNA from 1 species